UAGUAGUGGCGAGCGAACGCGGACCAGGCCAGUGCCAUUCAUUCAACUAGCAGAACGAUCUGGAAAGUUCGGCCGUAGCGGGUGACAGCCCCGUAUGCGAAAGUGAUGUGAAUGGACUCGAGUAGGGCGGGACACGUGUAAUCCUGUCUGAACAUGGGGGGACCACCCUCCAAGCCUAAAUACUCGUAUGCGACCGAUAGCGAACUAGUACCGUGAGGGAAAGGU
rnacentral:rRNA from 14 species